rnacentral:lncRNA from 1 species
GAACGUUUGGUAAAGAGGGAUUUGGCAUGUCCAGACGGAUUUCAGCUAACACACCAUUUUGAACCAUGCUACACAACUGCCCCAAGGGAUAGUUUCCACUGUAGAGAUGGUUAGCUGUUAGGAAGCAUUCCCUGGAAGAUGAUGAUGAAACACUAUGCAGAUUUUUAAGGUUUCUGGUGUUUUGAUCUAAUUCUUCCCCUCCAAGAGUUUAUGCCCUCCAAGAGUUUAUUAUUAUGUCACUAGUCACAGUGAUUCUUUUUUCUCUUGGGCCAUUACCUCUUUAAAACACACAGGUAUGAUAAGCUAACCUAUCAAACCUUACAGAGCAUCAUGCAAUCCUUUCCAAGUUGAACUCAGCUUCACCAUUUACGUGGACAGAGCAUCUUCAUCCAGAUAUAUUAGACUGGAGGAGCCUCUAUAUUCCCAAGAGGAAUUACUAUAUGGGUGAAAAACAAAACGACAUGUUUUGAGUUUUCUCUGCUGAAGCCACCUGUGGAAAGACUUUUAAUUAAUUUUGCCUGCAAUAAGGGGGAGAAAGGAUCUCUGCAGAAUUGUGCUUUUAUCCUUCGGAUAUCCCUGCACUGCAGACGGAGGCUUAAGCUCAUCCACCCUCUUCAUUGUGAGUGCGACGCUUACCUUAUGACUGUACCCUGCUCUUCAAUUCAUUGUUUGAGGAUGUCCUACAUGAGUGUAAUGAGCUUCAACGCGAUUCACCUCUUUCCCUGCCAUCUCAUGUCUUCUCAGACCCCUCCCCCAUCACUUCCUGCUUCCAACUUCAUGCCACCCUUUAUAAAACCCAACUGGGCCCGGCCAGGGCUUCCAAUAUUUCAUGGACGGGGAAGAUCAUCCACUGUGAAGAUGCCCGCUGUGGGCAGUCCAUCAAGAGCCCACAUCCCUGAUGGAAACUGAAUCUCCCUCCCCCAGCAGCCACCAGUUUGCCAUGUCGUCCGGAGCUUUUCACACUGGUGCCAAAAUUUUGCCGAGUUGUCAGGUCCAGAAAAUACUGUUCUGCAGGCGCUCCUAACAACCUCCACUCUUCAUAAUCGUUCUGACCCACUUUACAACAAUGUCUAAGCCUUAGAGUGGGUGGUAUUAUAUAGAGAGCCUAUUUGGAUUAAAUGCU